GCAACAGAAGCUGUCUGGUAAUCAGGAGGCAACCCUGACGGUGGAAUCCACCACUAUAGACGGGAUUAUAGGCUGAGAAGGGAGACUGGUGAACACCGAAGACAUUACAGAGCAACUCGACAGCCUGGAUUUAUCUUACCGAAAGGUCAGAACCACUGUCAAAGCAACCAUCGCUACCCAAGCAGUGAAGAAGAAAUACAGUGGAGCUGAGGACAGAGCUGCAGAUAAUUAAUUAGCAAAGACCCGUAUGGACAAGUGACUGGCGUCAGAGAGUUCUAGCAAGAGGCAUCAAAGACCUGGUCAAAAAGGUCAUAAUUCCGAGCAAGGAAAUUUAACUUCUGUGGAAAAUGGAGUGGACGGCAGAGGCUUCCUCCUAGAGGGACCAGGAAGUCAGAUCAAUUUUGACUCAAGGCUUCCUUGAGUGACACGCUGACUUCUCUUGUCCUUUACUGAAACCAGGCCUGGCUUCCGGGGGAUGAAAAACAGGUUAACUAGCCUCAACCACACAGGUCAGAGAACAAAGCCGUAGCCAGUGUUUCUAUUAGCAGAUGAGGGCUUAUGAUAUGCCAGGCAGGGCUCUAAAUGUCUCUUGUGUCUCAGCUUACGUAGUUGUCAUAACAGUGCUGUGGAGAAAGCACUGUGAUUACAGUAAUUAAUUUAUAACUGAAAGUGCCAAGGGUCUCCAUCAAAGUCCAGAGAACCAAAGACUGGAUGUUACGCUGCUUUAUGUGCCCAGGUCCCACCCCCAGGGCUCUUUUUGGCUUGCCUUUCUCUGGAAAACUCUGUGGGUCUUGAUUUCCUUGAUUCCACUCUCAACUAACCCGCUCUCAGUGUUAGAUCCGUCAGCCAGCUGCCCAGGCAGGAAUCUGUAAGUGGCACAAAGCGUGUCCCCAACCCUGGCACAACUGGAAAUUUGAUGCCGCUAAACCCAGAUUUUUUACAUGCACCUCCUUAUAUAAAUAGAGAAGUUGAAGUUAGGCCAACUGUUAUUUUAAUGCAUUUAAUAAUCCAUUACUUUGAAUCUGAACAUGCCAGAGGCAAAUUUAUUUAUGAUUAAUCAUCCUUUCCUGACUUCUAAGGAAAAGGGAUACACAUUAACUGGAGGAUCUGUCCAAGAGCCUUUGAUACAUGGGAAGACAGGGGCAAGUAGUAACAAAUGGCUCUUGUGCAAGUUUGGAACAAGGGGCUGGGGCAGAGCAGAAAUGUUUGGUGUAAGAGAGAGUUUAGGAGGGGAGGAGAGAGUGCAAGCAGGCAGGGACAGCUCCAGCUUCAGGCUAGGGGGAGAAAGAGUGGUUUCAAGCCAGACAUAGAGACUGAAAGUAGAGAUAAAGCUAAUAGACUCCUUUCCUUCCUUCCUGUUUUUUUCCUUUGGUAAAAAGCUCUUCACUGUUCUUCAGUGGAAUUUUCAGAAAAAAAAAAAGUACUGGAAUCAUUAACAUUAUUGUUAAAUGGAGUUUUGUUGGGGGAAGCUUAAAAAAGAGGGUGAGUAUACCGACGGCAUCAGGGUUAGAGACAGGAGGAAAAAGCAUACAGAUUCAAUUUGCAGAAAAGCAGUUGAUCCCUUAAUCACAUGUACACACAAGUUAAGGGAAUGUUUUUAAGAUACUGGUUUGAAGAAUCAUCAAAUGAGUAGCUUAUCUAGAGCCCACAGACACCUGAGCACAACCCUGGCAGUACUUUCUGUGCGUGGCUCUGUAACGCUUUACCUUCCGGACACUGAAUAAUGUCUGAGGGAUGAAGGAUUGUCACGGCGGUACUGCCUGCCGGUUAGUUUGAUGGCACUGUUAUUUCUCCUAAACACUAGUGUGUGUCAUUUUUAGAAUAGUUUAAUGGCAUCUUGUCCUAACACUCGAUAAAGAGGACUACAAAGCAGAAAAAUAAAUGCUGAUACUUAGAAAAACUAUUAAGUCAUCAACUCAAUAUAACUGAGAGAGGAGAUCUAAGAAUAGAGGAUCCAACAUAAGAAAAUGACAAAAUAAAGUCCUCGGGUGUCAUCUUGUGUCUCAAAACCAGUCAGGAUUGCAGCUGGGAUUUGGGAGUCCAGAGUGGAGGGCUUGAGGGAAAAAUAAAUUCAGUUGAAUAAGCUGAUGUGUCUGGCAUUUGGAAAACAACCAUUGCUACAAGAACAACAAAUUGAUAGAAAAAAUAAGGAUUAUAACACUGGAAAUUUAAGCACUUGAACAAAUGAGGCAGUGGUUAACUGUGGGAAAAAUAGAAAGAGAAAACAAACAAAUGAGAAACAACCCACUAUUUAUUUCAAUAGUAAGUAACAAUUGCAUAGUUGUGAUAAUAUUAUUGAUUUACCCUCAGAUAUUGUGACCUAACUCUAUGGAAUGAAUGAGACUAGGAAAGGUAGAGUUACAGUUUUAUCCUCCAUCAAAAGAAGUCAGUAGAUUUCCAAAAUUAGUCAAGAAAUGGCGAUACAAGCAUUUUAUUUAGAAAUACACCAGAAGAAAUAGGUAAGAAGGAAAGAGUCACCUAUAGGGGAUUGGUGAAGUAGGAACUGCUGUUUCUCAUUAUAAGCCUUUGUUUGUUUGUUUACUAUUUGUUUUAACUGCACAUGUGUUAUUUCGAUAAGAUUUAAUUAAUUCGUUAAACUUUUUUUUUAGGGGACUGGCUGUAUCAUCUACUCGUUUGCUCCUCUUUGACAUGUAAAUUACAUGGUACUGACAAAUACCUUGAUUGAACAGCUGAAGAUUUUUUUGUUUGUUUUUUAAUAUUACAUUUUUUUUUAAGAUGUUUUAACUGUGGGGAGUCAGAUAGUCAGUAUUUCAAGACCUGCUUGUUGGGGGCUUUGCAGCAGAGCAGCCCACCUGUCGGCAGCUAAUUUUAAUUCCAGCUGCUGCCUAAAGAUGUCUGCGCUUGUGUUCUGGCUCUGGCCCUUCAGUAUGGAUACUUUUGUUGGCUCCUACGUGCAGGCUUUCUUUAGUUCUGAGUACUUUGGCUUGGCUCUGUCAAUGCCGAGAUCCUCCUUGACCCAGUCUAAGUUUACCUUCUCAUCUUUCUGGAAACUUGUUUUACCUAACUUUUUUUUUUCACACUCCACUUAAAAAAACAAAAACAAAAUCUAUUAAUUCAUCCAGGAAACAUUUUUAAAGCCACUACUCCAGGGCAAUUCCUAUGCCACAACCUGGAGGCAUAGCAGAAAAUACAGUUCCACCCAGGAAAAGAGAUAAGGCUUCUUAAGUCACAGUUUGGAUUUCUUUUAGGGGAUUAAGGUGCCACCAGCCCUCUUCUCUUCUAGGAACACACGUGAAAAGGUCACUAGGCGAAUGACAAGGAUACACGCCGCUCUCCUAAUCCAGGCCGUCCCCCCGGAAUGCAAGGCCGCGAUAAGCCGCAGUGCUGGAGGCUGAAUUUUGAGUCUGGCCGAGCCUGCCCUGGGGUUUCCUCCUUUGCGCACUGAUCAGUUGACCUUGUACCUGCAUUUCCAGGCUCGCGGCUGUGAAACACAAGCCGGGCCUUCAGAACAGCGCCUGCUGUUUGGCUGCUUACCCCGACGGCACACAAACGCAGGGACCCCAGUUUCUCUUCAAAACAUGGGCCCCGGGCCCCGCCCACCUGCACUUGCCACUCCGACAGGAAGUGACGUCAGACCUGGCUUUGGAAGUGAACAGAACAGUCACGAGCACCGACCUUUGGCCUUGAAAGCAGGUCUACCCACCAGGGAAACCAGUCCAACGAAUGUCCCCAGCUCUGACCAGUCGCCUCAGUCACUCCUCUGAGGAGCAGCCAAGAAAGGCGUGAAGCGAGAGAGGACAGAAGUGCAGUGCCUUUCCCUCUGCUCUGGGAGAAGGCAGACCCCCGAGAAAAGGGUGAAGGGAGGUCCUCCCUCUUCAACAGUUUCCUUGAUCCAUGUGUCUUCUUUUCUUAAAAAAAUAUUAAGGGGGGAAGAUAUAGCUCAAGUGGUAGAGUGCAUGCUUAGCCUACACAAGGUCCUGGGUUCAAUCCCCAGUACCUCCUCUAAAAAUAAAGAAGUGAACUUAAUUACCUCCGCCUCUCCCCUAAAAAGAAUAAUUAGAAGCACAAAGAUGUACAAGUGUCUCAGUGUUCAAUGUGAUCAUAAUUAAACACAUCUUUUUUAAUUUCCUGUUAUUCAUUAACAUAUGAAAAUACCAGUGAAACAUGUUUGCUUCACAAUAAAUACAUCAGGGUGGCCACGCAUAAAACACAGAGAGAAUGGCCCUGAGGAUAUUCGAGGUCCUAGUUUUCUGGGUCUCAUAGUCACAUUGCAUAAUGUUGGGUUGUUGUGAGGAUUAAAUGAGUUAAAAUGUAAAAACGAUGUAGAGCAGUGCCUGGCAGACAGAGUCUUGGUGGUGGUUAUUGUUGUUAUUAUUAAUUUAUAUUUGUGUAUCUUAUUACAGUAAUUAUCUCACUUGAUUUCCACAACACCCUGUGAGAAAGGUAAGACAAACCUUCACAGAUGUAGCCAUUCAGCCGCUAGGUCUGCAGUUCAAAUUUUCUGAUUUCUGGUGCCAAACCCUUUCUACUACCUCAUGCCUGGGUAGCAGCCUGGUUUUCGUUAUUCAGAAAUUUAAAGUUUGAGGGGAGGGUAUACUUCAACUGGUAGAGCAUAUGCUUAGUAUGCACGAGGUCCUAGGUUCAAUCCCUAGUACAGCCAUUAAAAAAAUUACUAAUAAAUAGAUAAAUAGACCUAAUGACCCCCUCAAAAUUAAAAUAAAUAAACAAAAGGUAAAAAAAAAAAGAAAUUUAGAGGUUGGGUGUCCUGCCUUGUCAUUGGGAACUCCCAGAUGAUGCCAUGGUAGAAAUCUGCAAUUCUCUUACUUUACUAGGAAAAGAGUUGCUUGGCUUGUAUUAUAUGCAGCAUUGGGCUUUGCAGUUUCCUGGGUAAAUCAGUACGGGUAUUACACAAUUGAUAAACGUUUGCUUUCCGUCUCGCACAUGAAAUAUUUCACAUGCUGAUUGUUUUAUUCCCCAUGAGUUAAACAAUUACCGGAGAAGGCAAGGAUAAACUGACGUUUAACUGCUGACCCCCUAUCAUUUCGAUAGGUGGAUAUCACCAUGCCCCGCCUCUUCUUAAGCACAUGUUUUAGCUUUAUAUGGAUUAAGUGUGUAUAUGUGUAAAAAUGUGUAUAUAAAAGUUACACAUAUGUGAGCAUGUAUGUACACACAAAUAAUUAGGACCAUGCUCUGUACAUAUUCUAUAACCUACAGGUUUUACUUAACAACAUGCUCCAUACCAAGAACAUUUUCCUAUGUCCUGUGAAUUAACUAGAUUUACAUUCCACUGUAAUGCCUUCCACAUCAAGUCUUAAAGAAGUAAGGGGGUUAUUUGUGACACAAAAUAAGAAAGGUACACAGUCCAAGGCUAGUAUGAUCCCUUCACAAUUCUUUCCAGGACCCAGGCUGUUUCAGGUUUCUACCCUGCCAUCCUCAGUAUGUGGUUUUAGACCUUGUAUUUUUUACCUCCCACCCUUCAAAACACAUCUGUAUCCCAGGCAAAAAGAAGGGAAAAUGCAAAGACCAAAAGGUGCGUGUCAGUUGAGACUGCUUCUGUUUCCAGUGCUUUUCUAGACUCCCAGCUUGCAACUUCCGCUUACACCUCACUGGCCAGAACUGUGUCGUGUGGCUGCCCAAAGCCACAAAGGAAGCUGGGUGUUGCCGGUUGUGUUCUUCAGGAAGCAGAUGCGGAGACAGUGAGGAGUGAAAAAGGCUUAGGGGAAUAACACCUGUGAAAAGAGCAGGAUGCUGAAUUGGGCAGGGGGAGCCAGCAUUCCUUGAUGCAGACUUGACAAAAUUUCUGCCAGCCCGGCUGCAGGUCCAGAGCAAGGGCUGCUCGCUAGGGGAACCCUGCGUUGGGUAGAAAUGGCUUUGCCUCUGUACUACCAUCUUGCUUAGUCAUUGGCCGGGGACUGUCCUGAGGAGGGCAUGAUCUCAGCUAGUAACUGAAGAUUGUCAGCUAACCACACGCUUUGAAAUGGGAAGCAAAUCCCUUCCUGAAGCAAGGGGAUUUGAGUGGGACAUCCCCAGGUAUGCUGCCCUGGGAAAAGGAGGUUUUAAGCUGUACAUAUUGCCAUCCCAAAGACAUUUGGAGUUUUGUUAAUAAGGAAAAAGAAAGGGUAUUGUAUAGGCAACUGUUGUAUUAGAUACACUUAAAGUUCCUACCUGAGAGACAAGAACAAUUUUGCCAGAUAAAGGGGACUGUAUGUUGAACAAACUUGUGCAAGUCGUUGUGUCCCAUGGUGGAAGGGUGUCAAGACACAGAAAUGUCCUUUCCAUUAAGAGCACCCACCCAUGGCAUCAGGCUGCCUCUGAUGGUGGGUUAUUCAAACAGAGACGGGCUGGCUUCUAGGUGAAAUGAUGAACAUGAGUAAUGGUAGAAAUAAAUGAACAUGAAUGUU